AGCGAACGCUGGCGGCGUGCCUAACACAUGCAAGUCGCACGAGAAAGGGGUCGCAAGACCCCCGGUACAGUGGCGAACGGGUGAGUAACACGUGGGUAACCUGCCCUUGGGUUCGGAAUAACCUGCCGAAAGGCGGGCUAAUACCGAAUGACUCCACGGGGUCCUCGGACCUCGUGGUUAAAGCUGACCUCUUCAUGAAAGUUGGCGCCUGGGGAGGGGCCCGCGUCCCAUUAGCUAGUUGGUGAGGUAACGGCUCACCAAGGCUCCGAUGGGUAGCCGGCCUGAGAGGGCGACCGGCCACAGUGGAACUGAGACACGGUCCACACUCCUACGGGAGGCAGCAGUGAGGAAUCUUGCGCAAUGGGCGAAAGCCUGACGCAGCGACGCCGCGUGGACGAUGAAGGCCUUCGGGUCGUAAAGUCCUGUCGGGUGGGAAGAAUUGGCUUGGGGCUAAUAUCCCCAGGCCUUGACUGUACCACCAGAGGAAGCCCCGGCUAACUCCGUGC
rnacentral:rRNA from 1 species